rnacentral:misc_RNA from 1 species
CCCUCAUAAUUGCCUUUUCCUGAGUUCCUAUUUUGCUUUCUAAUAAUCAGAUUGCUACCUUUUCUUGAUUUUCUUUACUUCCUUGAAGUUCUUCAUGUGUGGGCUUUGAUUCCAAGGGUUUGUGUAGGUGUCACAAGAUGCCAAAGAGCAUAGUGAUGAGUCAAGAAGCUGUUAGAAUGGAUGAAUUGGAGGAGAGAUUCCGAAUCUUGCAAGAAGGCACUAAUAAGAAGAUUGAACAGAAGAUUGAGCAAAAGAUUAAACAAAAAAUGGAGGAAAUGAAGAAAGUGUUACUCGAUGAGAUGAAAAACAUUAUUAAUGGAUUUUUCCUUGAAAAAGAGAAAGGAACUAUAAAUGAGUAAGUUGAAGGGAAUGUGGUGCAAGAAGGGCAAAUCUUGCCAAUACCUAAGGUGGUAGCAAAAGGAAAUCAAAAGGAGCAGGUAAGUGUAUCUUCUUUUAUGGGAAAUGAGGAGGCAUCAGGGC